CCUACGGGCGGCAGCAGUGGGGAAUAUUGCACAAUGGGGGAAACCCUGAUGCAGCGACGCCGCGUGAGUGAUGAAGUAUUUCGGUAUGUAAAGCUCUAUCAGCAGGGAAGAAAAUGACGGUACCUGAUUAAGAAGCCCCGGCUAACUACGUGCCAGAAGCCGCGGGAAUACGUAGGGGGCAGGCGUUAUCCGGAUUUACUGGGUGUAAAGGGAGCGUAGGCGGCAGCACAAGUCUGGUGUGAAAUGCCGGGGCUUAACCCCGGAACUGCUUUGGAAACUGGGCAGCUAGAGUGCAGGAGAGGUAGGUGGAAUUCCUAGUGUAGCGGUGAAAUGCGUAGAUAUUAGGAGGAACACCAGUGGCGAAGGCGGCUUGCUGGACUGUAACUGACGUUGAGGCUCGAAAGCGUGGGGAGCAAACAGGAUUAGAUACCCCUGUAGUC
rnacentral:rRNA from 1 species